rnacentral:rRNA from 1 species
GACGAACGCUGGCGGCGUGCUUAACACAUGCAAGUCGAACGGAAAGGCCCUGCUUUUGUGGGGUGCUCGAGUGGCGAACGGGUGAGUAACACGUGAGUAACCUGCCCUUGACUUUGGGAUAACUUCAGGAAACUGGGGCUAAUACCGGAUAGGAGCUCCUGCUGCAUGGUGGGGGUUGGAAAGUUUCGGCGGUUGGGGAUGGACUCGCGGCUUAUCAGCUUGUUGGUGGGGUAGUGGCUUACCAAGGCUUUGACGGGUAGCCGGCCUGAGAGGGUGACCGGCCACAUUGGGACUGAGAUACGGCCCAGACUCCUACGGGAGGCAGCAGUGGGGAAUAUUGCACAAUGGGCGGAAGCCUGAUGCAGCAACGCCGCGUGCGGGAUGACGGCCUUCGGGUUGUAAACCGCUUUCGCCAGUGACGAAGCGUGAGUGACGGUAAUGGGUAAAGAAACACCGGCUAACUACGUG